AGUGAACGCUGGCGGUAGGCCUAACACAUGCAAGUCGAACGGCAGCACAGUAAGAGCUUGCUCUUACGGGUGGCGAGUGGCGGACGGGUGAGGAAUACAUCGGAAUCUACUUUUUCGUGGGGGAUAACGUAGGGAAACUUACGCUAAUACCGCAUACGACCUACGGGUGAAAGCAGGGGAUCUUCUGACCUUGCGCGAUUGAAUGAGCCGAUGUCGGAUUAGCUAGUUGGCGGGGUAAAGGCCCACCAAGGCGACGAUCCGUAGCUGGUCUGAGAGGAUGAUCAGCCACACUGGAACUGAGACACGGUCCAGACUCCUACGGGAGGCAGCAGUGGGGAAUAUUGGACAAUGGGCGAAAGCCUGAUCCAGCCAUACCGCGUGGGUGAAGAAGGCCUUCGGGUUGUAAAGCCCUUUUGUUGGGAAAGAAAAGCAGCAGGUGAAUACCCCGCUGUUCUGACGGUACCCAAAGAAUAAGCACCGGCUAACUUCGUG
rnacentral:rRNA from 1 species